CUCUCGGCCUUAGCGCCAUUUUUUUGGAAACCUCUGCGCCAUGAGAGCCAAGGUGAGCGGUUCCUGGUAGUAAGCUUGGGAGGUAGGAGUUGGCGAGUAGUAGCGGGGAGACGAAGGCAAGUCCGCCAUACCUCCUGAACUACUGGGUUUCGAGGGUGCCCAAGAGCUGGUGGGAGAGAGAAGUGGAGGAAGAAGCGAAUGCGCAGGCUGAAGCGCAAAAGAAGAAAGAUGAGGCAGAGGUCCAAGUAAACCGCUAGCUUGUUGCACCGUGGUGGCCACAGGAGCAGAAACAUGGAAUGCCAGACGCUGGGGAUGCUGGUACAAGUUGUGGGACUGCAUGCUACUGUCUAGAGCUUGUCUCAAUGGAUCUAGAACUUCAUCGCCCUCUGAUCGCCGAUCACCUCUGAGACCCACCUUGCUCAUAAACAAAAUGCCCAUGUUGGUCCUCUGCCCUGGACCUGUGACAUUCUGGACUAUUUCUGUGUUUAUUUGUGGCCGAGUGUAACAACCAUAUAAUAAAUCACCUCUUCCGCUGUUUUAGCUGAAGAAUU
rnacentral:sRNA from 1 species